GAGUCGGCCUGCGCGGAAGAUGUAACGGGGCUAAACCAUGCACCGAAGCUGCGGCAGCGACACUGUGUGUUGUUGGGUAGGGGAGCGUUCUGUAAGCCUGUGAAGGUGUGUCGUGAGGCAUGCUGGAGGUAUCAGAAGUGCGAAUGCUGACAUAAGUAACGAUAAAGCGGGUGAAAAGCCCGCUCGCCGGAAGACCAAGGGUUCCUGUCCAACGUUAAUCGGGGCAGGGUGAGUCGACCCCUAAGGCGAGGCCGAAAGGCGUAGUCGAUGGGAAACGGGUUAAUAUUCCCGUACUUGGUGUUACUGCGAAGGGGGGACGGAGAAGGCUAUGUUGGCCGGGCGACGGUUGUCCCGGUUUAAGCGUGUAGGUGUGUGUUCCAGGUAAAUCCGGUUCACUUUAACACUGAGGCGUGACGACGAGGCACUACGGUGCUGAAGCAACAAAUGCCCUGCUUCCAGGAAAAGCCUCUAAGCAUCAGGUAACAUCAAAUCGUACCCCAAACCGACACAGGUGGUCAGGUAGAGAAUACCAAGGCGCUUGAGAGAACUCGGGUGAAGGAACUAGGCAAAAUGGUGCCGUAACUUCGGGAGAAGGCACGCUGACACGUAGGUGAAGUGAUUUACUCAUGGAGCUGAAGUCAGUCGAAGAUACCAGCUGGCUGCAACUGUUUAUUAAAAACACAGCACUGUGCAAACACGAAAGUGGACGUAUACGGUGUGACGCCUGCCCGGUGCCGGAAGGUUAAUUGAUGGGGUCAGCGCAAGCGAAGCUCCUGAUCGAAGCCCCGGUAAACGGCGGCCGUAACUAUAACGGUCCUAAGGUAGCGAAAUUCCUUGUCGGGUAAGUUCCGACCUGCACGAAUGGCGUAAUGAUGGCCAGGCUGUCUCCACCCGAGACUCAGUGAAAUUGAACUCGCUGUGAAGAUGCAGUGUACCCGCGGCAAGACGGAAAGACCCCGUGAACCUUUACUAUAGCUUGACACUGAACAUUGAGCCUUGAUGUGUAGGAUAGGUGGGAGGCUUUGAAGUGUGGACGCCAGUCUGCAUGGAGCCGACCUUGAAAUACCACCCUUUAAUGUUUGAUGUUCUAACGUGGACCCGUUACCCGGGUUGCGGACAGUGUCUGGUGGGUAGUUUGACUGGGGCGGUCUCCUCCUAAAGAGUAACGGAGGAGCACGAAGGUUGGCUAAUCCUGGUCGGACAUCAGGAGGUUAGUGCAAUGGCAUAAGCCAGCUUGACUGCGAGCGUGACGGCGCGAGCAGGUGCGAAAGCAGGUCAUAGUGAUCCGGUGGUUCUGAAUGGAAGGGCCAUCGCUCAACGGAUAAAAGGUACUCCGGGGAUAACAGGCUGAUACCGCCCAAGAGUUCAUAUCGACGGCGGUGUUUGGCACCUCGAUGUCGGCUCAUCACAUCCUGGGGCUGAAGUAGGUCCCAAGGGUAUGGCUGUUCGCCAUUUAAAGUGGUACGCGAGCUGGGUUUAGAACGUCGUGAGACAGUUCGGUCCCUAUCUGCCGUGGGCGCUGGAGAACUGAGGGGGGCUGCUCCUAGUACGAGAGGACCGGAGUGGACGCAUCACUGGUGUUCGGGUUGUCAUGCCAAUGGCACUGCCCGGUAGCUAAAUGCGGAAGAGAUAAGUGCUGAAAGCAUCUAAGCACGAAACUUGCCCCGAG
rnacentral:rRNA from 1 species